AUACGGAGGGUGCAAGCGUUACUCGGAAUCACUGGCGUAAAGCGCGCGCAGGCGGCUAUUUAAGUUGGAUGUGAAAGCCUACGGCUCAACCGUAGAACUGCAUCCAAAACUAUUUAGCUAGAGUGUGGGAGAGGAAGAUGGAAUUAGUUGUGUAGGGGUAAAAUCCGUAGAGAUAACUAGGAAUACCAAAAGCGAAGGCAAUCUUCUGGAACACUACUGACGCUGAGGCGCGAAAGCGUGGGGAGCAAACAGGAUUAGAAACCCUAGUAGUCC
rnacentral:rRNA from 1 species